UCUUAUCAAGAGAGGUGGAGGGAAAGGCCCUAUGAAACCCAGCAACCAGUAUGCAUUAUUUGCAUAUAUGGUGCUAAAUCCUACAACAAGUGUUGAAAGAUAAG
rnacentral:ncRNA from 1 species